AUGUACCCAGUGGCUUGGGCAGUGGUGGAGAAAGAGACCAAUGAUAGCUGGAAAUGGUUCAUUGCACUGUUGAUCAAAGACUUGGAUAUCAAUGACCAAGGAGCAGGAUGGGUCUUCAUUUCUGACCAGCAGAAGGUAAUUUUAAUGUACUGCAUUCAUUUCAUAAAUAGGGUAGGGUUAGGGUAG
rnacentral:rRNA from 1 species